ACCAGCCAGAACCCAGCUUGAGAUGGAGCUGACAAGACGCACCUAUCAGUUCUUAUUGCAGCUGCUCAUGGUGAGGUCCUUCAAUGUUACUGCAUUUCAAUGUUACAGAAUUUCGUUCUUUUCCAUGGGCUGAUCCCUUGGAGUGCAGAGGCUCUCUGAGUCUACUUACUUGUCCUGGAUUCUAAGACCCACGCGAGA